UGAAACCGUGUACGUACAAGCAGUGGGAGCACAGAGCAAUCUGUGUGACUGCGUACCUUUUGUAUAAUGGGUCAGCGACUUAUAUUCUGUAGCAAGGUUAACCGAAUAGGGGAGCCGAAGGGAAACCGAGUCUUAACUGGGCGUUAAGUUGCAGGGUAUAGACCCGAAACCCGGUGAUCUAGCCAUGGGCAGGUUGAAGGUUGGGUAACACUAACUGGAGGACCGAACCGACUAAUGUUGAAAAAUUAGCGGAUGACUUGUGGCUGGGGGUGAAAGGCCAAUCAAACCGGGAGAUAGCUGGUUCUCCCCGAAAGCUAUUUAGGUAGCGCCUCGUGAAUUCAUCUCCGGGGGUAGAGCACUGUUUCGGCAAGGGGGUCAUCCCGACUUACCAACCCGAUGCAAACUGCGAAUACCGGAGAAUGUUAUCACGGGAGACACACGGCGGGUGCUAACGUCCGUCGUGAAGAGGGAAACAACCCAGACCGCCAGCUAAGGUCCCAAAGUCAUGGUUAAGUGGGAAACGAUGUGGGAAGGCCCAGACAGCCAGGAUGUUGGCUUAGAAGCAGCCAUCAUUUAAAGAAAGCGUAAUAGCUCACUGGUCGAGUCGGCCUGCGCGGAAGAUGUAACGGGGCUAAACCAUGCACCGAAGCUGCGGCAGCGACGCUUAUGCGUUGUUGGGUAGGGGAGCGUUCUGUAAGCCUGUGAAGGUGUGCUGUGAGGCAUGCUGGAGGUAUCAGAAGUGCGAAUGCUGACAUAAGUAACGAUAAAGCGGGUGAAAAGCCCGCUCGCCGGAAGACCAAGGGUUCCUGUCCAACGUUAAUCGGGGCAGGGUGAGUCGACCCCUAAGGCGAGGCCGAAAGGCGUAGUCGAUGGGAAACAGGUUAAUAUUCCUGUACUUGGUGUUACUGCGAAGGGGGGACGGAGAAGGCUAUGUUGGCCGGGCGACGGUUGUCCCGGUUUAAGCGUGUAGGCUGGUUUUCCAGGCAAAUCCGGAAAAUCAAGGCUGAGGCGUGAUGACGAGGCACUACGGUGCUGAAGCAACAAAUGCCCUGCUUCCAGGAAAAGCCUCUAAGCAUCAGGUAACAUCAAAUCGUACCCCAAACCGACACAGGUGGUCAGGUAGAGAAUACCAAGGCGCUUGAGAGAACUCGGGUGAAGGAACUAGGCAAAAUGGUGCCGUAACUUCGGGAGAAGGCACGCUGAUAUGUAGGUGAAGUCCCUCGCGGAUGGAGCUGAAAUCAGUCGAAGAUACCAGCUGGCUGCAACUGUUUAUUAAAAACACAGCACUGUGCAAACACGAAAGUGGACGUAUACGGUGUGACGCCUGCCCGGUGCCGGAAGGUUAAUUGAUGGGGUCAGCGCAAGCGAAGCUCUUGAUCGAAGCCCCGGUAAACGGCGGCCGUAACUAUAACGGUCCUAAGGUAGCGAAAUUCCUUGUCGGGUAAGUUCCGACCUGCACGAAUGGCGUAAUGAUGGCCAGGCUGUCUCCACCCGAGACUCAGUGAAAUUGAACUCGCUGUGAAGAUGCAGUGUACCCGCGGCAAGACGGAAAGACCCCGUGAACCUUUACUAUAGCUUGACACUGAACAUUGAGCCUUGAUGUGUAGGAUAGGUGGGAGGCUUUGAAGUGUGGACGCCAGUCUGCAUGGAGCCGACCUUGAAAUACCACCCUUUAAUGUUUGAUGUUCUAACGUUGACCCGUAAUCCGGGUUGCGGACAGUGUCUGGUGGGUAGUUUGACUGGGGCGGUCUCCUCCUAAAGAGUAACGGAGGAGCACGAAGGUUGGCUAAUCCUGGUCGGACAUCAGGAGGUUAGUGCAAUGGCAUAAGCCAGCUUGACUGCGAGCGUGACGGCGCGAGCAGGUGCGAAAGCAGGUCAUAGUGAUCCGGUGGUUCUGAAUGGAAGGGCCAUCGCUCAACGGAUAAAAGGUACUCCGGGGAUAACAGGCUGAUACCGCCCAAGAGUUCAUAUCGACGGCGGUGUUUGGCACCUCGAUGUCGGCUCAUCACAUCCUGGGGCUGAAGUAGGUCCCAAGGGUAUGGCUGUUCGCCAUUUAAAGUGGUACGCGAGCUGGGUUUAGAACGUCGUGAGACAGUUCGGUCCCUAUCUGCCGUGGGCGCUGGAGAACUGAGGGGGGCUGCUCCUAGUACGAGAGGACCGGAGUGGACGCAUCACUGGUGUUCGGGUUGUCAUGCCAAUGGCACUGCCCGGUAGCUAAAUGCGGAAGAGAUAAGUGCUGAAAGCAUCUAAGCACGAAACUUGCCCCGAGAUGAGUUCUCCCUGAC
rnacentral:rRNA from 1 species